rnacentral:rRNA from 1 species
UACGGGGGGGGCAAGCGUUGUUCGGAAUUACUGGGCGUAAAGGGCUCGUAGGUGGCCAACUAAGUCAGACGUGAAAUCCCUCGGCUUAACCGGGGAACUGCGUCUGAUACUGGAUGGCUUGAGUUCGGGAGAGGGAUGCGGAAUUCCAGGUGUAGCGGUGAAAUGCGUAGAUAUCAGGAGGAACACCGAUGGCGAAGGCAGAUCUCUGGGCCGUAACUGACGCUGAGGAGCGAAAGCGUGGGGAGCGAACAGG